UAAGGAAUAUUGGUCAAUGGACGCAAGUCUGAACCAGCCAUGCCGCGUGAAGGAUGAAGGUCCUCUGGAUUGUAAACUUCUUUUAUCUGGGACGAAAACGGGAUUUUUAUCUCAAUUGACGGUACCAGAGGAAUAAGCACCGGCUAACUCCGUGCCAGCAGCCGCGGUAAUACGGAGGGUGCGAGCGUUAUCCGGAUUUACUGGGUUUAAAGGGUGCGUAGGUGGGCUUAUAAGUCAGUGGUGAAAUCUCCGAGCUUAACUUGGAAACUGCCGUAGAUACUAUAGGUCUUGAAUUAUCUGGAGGUAAGCGGAAUAUGUCAUGUAGCGGUGAAAUGCUUAGAUAUGACAUAGAACACCAAGUGCGAAGGCAGCUUACUACAUAUAAAUUGACGCUGAGGCACGAAAGCGUGGGGAUCAAACA
rnacentral:rRNA from 1 species